AUUGAACGCUGGCGGCAUGCUUUACACAUGCAAGUCGAACGGUAACAGGCCUUCGGGUGCUGACGAGUGGCGCACGGGUGAGUAAUGCAUCGGAACGUACCCAGAGGUGGGGGAUAACGCAGCGAAAGCUGUGCUAAUACCGCAUGUGAUCUGAGGAUGAAAGCGGGGGACCGAGCAGCAAUGUUUGGCCUCGCGCCUUUGGAGCGGCCGAUGUCGGAUUAGCUAGUUGGUGGGGUAAAGGCCUACCAAGGCGACGAUCCGUAGCUGGUCUGAGAGGACGACCAGCCACACUGGGACUGAGACACGGCCCAGACUCCUACGGGAGGCAGCAGUGGGGAAUUUUCGACAAUGGGCGCAAGCCUGAUCCAGCAAUGCCGCGUGCGGGAAGAAGGCCUUCGGGUUGUAAACCGCUUUUGGCAGGAACGAAACGGUGUCCGCUAAUACCGGGCGCUAAUGACGGUACCUGCAGAAUAAGCACCGGCUAACUACGU
rnacentral:rRNA from 1 species